rnacentral:rRNA from 1 species
UUUUCCGGUUGAUCCCGCCGGACCUGACUGCUAUCAGAGUAGGACUAAGACAUGCUAGUUGAGCGCCUCUUGCUAUGGUGAGACGCAGCGCACAGCUCAGUAACACGUGGCUAACCUGCCCUUGGGACGGAGACAACCCCGGGAAACUGGGGCUAAUAUCCGAUAAGUGAGAAAAUCUGGAAUGAUUUCUUGCUGAAAGGGUUUCUAGACCAUGCUUCUAGACAUCGCCCAAGGAGGGGGCCGCGGCCGAUCAGGUUGUUGGCGGGGUAAUGGCUCACCAAGCCUUUGACCGGUACGGGCCGUGAGAGCGGGAGCCCGGAGAUGGACAAUGAGAUAAGGGUCCAGGCCCUACGGGGCGCAGCAGUCGCGAAAACUCCACAAUUCACGAAAGUGUGACGGGGCUAACCCGAGUGCCGUCCGAUAAGGAUGGCUUUUCCCCAGCGUAAGGAGCUGGGGGAAUAAGGAGGGGGCAAGACUGGUGUCAGCCGCCGCGGUAAUACCAGCCCUCCGAGUGGUGGGGACGCUUAUUGGGCCUAAAGCAUUCGUAGCCGGCUGGGCAAGUCUUCCGUUAAAUCCAACGAUUCAAUCGUUGGACUGCGGGAGAUACUGUCUAGCUAGGAGGCGGGAGAGGCCGACGGUAUUUUCGGGGUAGGGGUGAAAUCCUAUAAUCCCGGGAGGACCAUCAGUGGCGAAGGCUGUCGGCUGGAACGCGCUCGACGGUGAGGGAUGAAAGCUGGGGGAGCGAACCGGAUUAGAUACCCGGGUAGUCCCAGCUGUAAACUCUGCAGGCUGGGUGUUGGUGCGGCUACGCGCCGCUCCGGUGCCGUAGGGAAACUGUUAAGCCUGCCGCCUGGGAAGUACGGUCGCAAGGCUGAAACUUAAAGGAAUUGGCGGGGGAGCACCACAAGGGGUGAAGCUUGCGGUUUAAUUGGAUUCAACGCCGGGAAUCACUAGU